AGAGUUUGAUCCUGGCUCAGCGCGAACGCUGUCGGCGUGCCUAACACAUGCAAGUCGUGGGGCAGCAGGCCGGUUCCUUUUGGAACCGGUGCUGGCGACCGGCGAACGGGUGAGUAACGCGUGAGCAACCUACCCCGAGGAGGGGGAUAACCCGGGGAAACCCGGGCUAAUACCCCAUAAGCGCACGGCCUGCAUGGGCUGUGUGAAAAGGUGGCCUCUGGGCUCUGCCUAAGCUGCCGCCUCGGGAUGGGCUCGCGUCCCAUCAGGUAGUUGGUGGGGUAACGGCCUACCAAGCCUACGACGGGUAGCCGGCCUGAGAGGGUGGUCGGCCACACCGGGACUGAGACACGGCCCGGACUCCUACGGGAGGCAGCAGUGGGGAAUCUUGGGCAAUGGGCGAAAGCCUGACCCAGCAACGCCGCGUGGAGGAAGAAGCCCUUCGGGGUGUAAACUCCUUUUGCAGGGGAAGAGAGAGACGGUACCCUGCGAAUAAGCUCCGGCUAACUCCGUGCCAGCAGCCGCGGUAAUACGGGGGGAGCGAGCGUUACUCGGAAUCACUGGGCGUAAAGGGUGCGUAGGCGGCUUAGUAAGUUGGGAGUGAAAUCCCACGGCUCAACCGUGGAACUGCUUCCAAAACUGCUAAGCUAGAGUCCGGGAGAGGCCGAGGGAAUUCCUGGUGUAGGGGUGAAAUCCGUAGAGAUCAGGAGGAAUGCCGAAAGCGAAGGCGCUCGGCUGGAACGGAACUGACGCUGAGGCACGAAAGCGUGGGGAGCAAACAGGAUUAGAUACCCUGGUAGUCCACGCCCUAAACGAUGAAUGUUAGUCGUUGGGGUGCUAGUCACUUCAGUGAUGCAGUUAACACAUUAAACAUUCCGCCUGGGGAGUACGGUCGCAAGAUUAAAACUCAAAGGAAUAGACGGGGACCCGCACAAGUGGUGGAGCAUGUGGUUUAAUUCGAAGAUACGCGAAGAACCUUACCUAGCCUUGACAUUGAUUGAAUUCUGUAGAGAUACAGAAGUGCCUUUCGGGGAACAUGAAAACAGGUGCUGCACGGCUGUCGUCAGCUCGUGUCGUGAGAUGUUGGGUUAAGUCCCGCAACGAGCGCAACCCUCGUCCUUAGUUGCCAGCAGGUUAAGCUGGGCACUCUAAGGAGACUGCCUUCGCAAGGAGGAGGAAGGUGAGGACGACGUCAAGUCAUCAUGGCCCUUAUGGCUAGGGCUACACACGUGCUACAAUGGGGCGUACAGAGUGUUGCGAUACCGCGAGGUGGAGCCAAUCACUUAAAGCGUCUCUCAGUUCGGAUUGGAGUCUGCAACUCGACUCCAUGAAGCUGGAAUCACUAGUAAUCGUAGAUCAGCAAUGCUACGGUGAAUACGUUCCCGGGUCUUGUACUCACCGCCCGUCACACCAUGGGAGUUGAUUUCACCCGAAAUUGGGAAGCUAACCUUCGGGAGGCUACCACUUACGGUGGAAUUAGCGACUGGGGUGAAGUCGUAACAAGGUAACCGUA
rnacentral:rRNA from 1 species